rnacentral:rRNA from 1 species
UUCCAGACUCCUACGGGAGGCAGCAGUGGGGAAUAUUGCACAAUGGGGGAAACCCUGAUGCAGCGACGCCGCGUGAGCGAUGAAGUAUUUCGGUAUGCAAAGCUCUAUCAGCAGGGAAGAAGAUGACGGUACCUGACUAAGAAGCCCCGGCUAACUACGUGCCAGCAGCCGCGGUAAUACGUAGGGGGCAAGCGUUAUCCGGAUUUACUGGGUGUAAAGGGAGCGUAGACGGCGGUGCAAGCCAGAUGUGAAAGCCCGGGGCUCAACCCCGGGACUGCAUUUGGAACUGUAUGGCUGGAGUGUCGGAGAGGCAGGCGGAAUUCCUAGUGUAGCGGUGAAAUGCGUAGAUAUUAGGAGGAACACCAGUGGCGAAGGCGGCCUGCUGGACGAUGACUGACGUUGAGGCUCGAAAGCGUGGGGAGCAAACAGGAUUAGAUACCCGAGUA